AGCGAACGCUGGCGGCAGGCUUAACACAUGCCAGUCGAGCGGGCAUCUUCGUAUGUCUGCGGCAGACGGGUGAGUAACACGUUGGAACGUACCCUUCGGUUCGGAACAACUCUGGGAAACUGGAGCUAAUACCGGAUACGCCCUUAUGGGGAAAGGUUUACUGCCGAAGGAUCGGCCCGCGUCUGAUUAGCUAGUGGGUGGGGUAACGGCCUACCAAGGCGACGAUCAGUAGCUGGCCUGAGAGGAUGGGCAGCCACACUGGGACUGAGACACGGCCCAGACUCCUACGGGAGGCAGCAGUGGGGAAUAUUGGACAAUGGGCGCAAGCCUGAUCCAGCCAUGCCGCGUGAGUGAUGAAGGCCUUAGGGUUGUAAAGCUCUUUUGUCCGGGACGAUAAUGACGGUACCGGAAGAAUAAGCCCCGGCUAACUUCGUG
rnacentral:rRNA from 1 species